GAGAGAGAGUGUGAGAGAGAGAGAGAGUAGUACUCUAGUCGGCACCCUGGGGAGGAAACAUCCAACCCACCGGCUGCCAUCUGAUUCGAUUGAUCUCAUACGGGAAAAUCGUUACGGGAUGAUCAAAAGGAACGUAUUUUGCUAUUUCCUCCGUACAACCUGUUGCUCCUUUUCCGGAUAAGAUGGUAACAACGCCACCAGCAUCCCCCCGGGUUUAUUCAUAAGCGUUGACAGGUCGCCUUUCGACUCGGAUGUAACACAGAGGAGUUUCAGUUCAGGCACAAGGCGUCCUAAAAAACAGGAGAAGUGGACGGGACGAGCUGUGAGAGGAAUACAAAUUAUACUACUGAAAGAAAAAUCCGUCCAAUGACAGGAACGAGCCGAGCUGCCGGUGUGAAGCGUCAAAACUGAGAACUGCCUUUGAGGUCUGCUGUCCACUGUCCGAAGAGAGGAUUCGGGAAAUUACAGUUUUAAAGUGUUUAAAGACCUAAACGGAGGGAUGACUGUCAAGCUGGACUUUGAGGAGUGUUUAAAAGACUCUCCGCGAUUCAGAGCUGAAAUUGAGGUGGUCCAAAAUGAUGUCAGUGAACUUGAGACACGACUAGACAAGCUUGUGAAACAAUGCCAGGCCAUGCUGGAGGCAAGCAAAGUCUACUGUCAGACCAGCAAGAGCUUUGUCAGUGGCCUGCGGGAUCUGGGACACAACUGCUCAGGGGACAACAUGAUGGAGGAGUGUUUGGAGAAAUUUUCCAAGAAGCUGUCUCUCAUCCUGGAUGCACAGGAGGAAGUAAUCGAGGUCACGCAGAAGGCGGUCAAAACGAAGCUGCAGAACUUUGUCAAAGAAGAUGUCCGACGCUUCAAAGAUGUGCGUAAGGAGUUUGAGCGUGGCAGCGAGUGUCUGGAGGGGGCGCUGUCGAGGAACGCUCAGGCUCCACGAGGGAAACAGCAUGAAGUGGAGGAGGCCAGUAAUGCUCUGCUCAACGCACGCAGGACGUUUCGGUCUGAGGCUCUGGAUUACGUUCUGGAGAUUAAUGUCAUUGAGGCUAAGAAGAAAACGGACAUUGUGACGGCAAUGUUGUCACUGAUGGAGGCCCAGGCUAAUUUCUUCCAACAUGGCCACCAGUCGCUGUCAGAAUUGGACGAGUAUCGACGAAAGCUAAAUGAUGAGCACACACAGUUUGUUCUCAACGCUGCCAGGGAGAAGAGAGACAUGGAGCAAAGACACGCUGCGAUCAAGAAAAAGGAUGUUUCAUACGAUGAUUCCAUCAUGGAUUUUAACGCUGAUGCAGCUAACGGGAUUGCCAUGGAGGGAUACCUCUAUAAGAGAGCCAGUAAUGCCUUCAAGACAUGGAGCAGGCGCUGGUUUUCAAUUCAGAAAAAUCAGCUGGUGUAUCAGAAGAAAUUUAAGGACCAGCCCACUGUUGUGGUGGAGGACUUGCGUCUUUGCACAGUGAAGCCCAGCACUGAGAACGAGAGACGCUUCUGCUUUGAAGUGGUCUCCCCGUCAAAGUGUUGUUUGUUGCAGGCAGACUCAGAACGGCAGCAGCAGGCUUGGAUCAGCGCCGUCCAAAACAGCAUUGCCUCAGCCUUUCAGGAGCACAGAGAGGACCCACACAGCCCAAGGCAGCGCUGCAGCUCGGUGUCAGCGGGCACUUUUGGAGGAGGUGGGGGAGGAGGUGGUGGAGGAGCAGACCAGGAGAACACCGGUUGUAAAGCGCUAGAGGAGGUUCAGGCGAUCCCCGGGAACAAGCAGUGCUGCGACUGUGGGGAGCCCAGUCCUGAUUGGGCCUCCAUCAACUUAGGCAUCACACUUUGUAUCGUCUGCUCCGGGAUACAUAGGAGCCUGGGAGUCCAUUUCUCCAAGGUACGCUCACUCACGCUGGACUCCUGGGAGCCUGAGCUCAUUAAGUUGAUGUGUGAAUUAGGAAACACGGUCAUCAACAGGAUCUACGAGGCACGGAUUGAUGAGAUCACCAUCAAGAAGCCACACCCCUCCAGUCCCAGAGGCGACAAGGAGUCAUGGAUACGCUCCAAGUAUGUGGAAAAGAAGUUCAUCAGAAAGCUGCCGGAGACGGGCAUGAACCCCCUGCUGAGGCGAUCCAGUGCAAGGAGGAACCGAGCAACCACACAAGACAAGACCGUGCAGCGACCGGCACUUAAGCCCAAACCAAACCGAGCCACUCUGCCUCGAGUCACAGGGUUGAGCCCCAGUGACAUCCAAAAGAACAACAAAGGCACCCACAAAGAUGCAGAUGAGGAAGAGGAGGAUCUGAGCGGCCUCCAUCCCGGGGCGCUGCUGUAUCGCUCAGCGGCCCUGCAGAACUUCCCUGUCAUGGCCGACGCUUUGGCCCACGGAGCCGACGUCAACUGGGUCAAUGUGGCCGAGGAAUCCAGCACGCCGCUCAUACAGGCCGUCUCAGCUAAUGCUCUGGCUGCCUGUGAGUUCCUGCUGCAGAACGGGGCUAAUGUCAACCAGGUGGACAGCAACGGGAGGGGACCACUCCAUCACGCCACCAUCCUUGGUCAUACUGGGUUGGUCUGUCUGUUCUUAAAGCGAGGCGCCGACUACAACGCCAAAGACAAAAACCAGAAAGACCCCAUAACAAUCGCUGUGGAGGCCGCCAACGCUGACAUCGUCACUUUGCUGCGGAUCGCCAAGAUGAACAAGGAGAUGAGGGAGAUGGACGGAGCGUUUGGCCAAUCAGGUCACUCAGGGGGUCAGGGAUCUGGGGGUUUAUCAGGCGGGACAGGAGGGGGGCUGGCUCAUACGAGGAAGAGCCUCCAGGCUAUAAAGAACCACAUCAGCGGCUGGGCUCUGGGGGGGCAGAACGAUUAGUGGGGAUAAAAUCAUCCCAGGACAAAAGACAGAUGACUUUUUAAAAGCUAAAUGGGAAAAGAUGCUUUUGUGACGUUGUUAAGCAUCAGAAAUCACUCAUGUUUAUCAGAGAUAAUCCCCGCUUUCAGUGAGGGAAACAUGCGUCAUCAUUUGUGAGAUUAUUUAACAGAAAACUGUCUUUGCUGGGAGAGCAUUAAAGCAAAGACUUGUAAAUGAAGAAGCACAGAGUAAAACAGUGAGAAAGAGCAAGAUCGUGUGAGAGAAGAAGAGACAUGUGAGAGACAUUCUUUAAAGCACUUUGAACUGAAACGCACAUCAUGCUGCACUUUGACCCACAAAAUUUCGACAUAUCCUGUCAAUGUUGAGCGCUGCAUGUGGGUUUCUCCUAUGUUAAACUUAGUUUAAAAAGAUGUCUAUAUAAAAGACCUUUUUAGGCCUGUUUUAGCUUUUUUUAUUGUAUAUAAGUGGUGUUUUUAUACAGAUUUUGUACAGUGUUUUGGUGUCUUUUUCAGUUCAGUUAUGUAAGCUAAAUUCAAUGUUGGAUUUGGUUCUCAAGGACGAUUUUUUCCUGCUAUUCUGUGAAUAGUGACUCAGCCUGAACUCUGUUACACCUUAGGGUUUGUUAUGUGAAUACAUUCCAUGUUUCUGUUUAUUUAUGAGAAUUUCAUGCAGCCAGUCAGGUCCAAGAGCCCUCAAGCUUGAGGUUAAAAGUGGGUUUUGUUUGCAUUUGUUUCCUUUUGAUGCUGCAAAAUCCAUUCUUUCAUGAGGAUAAUAACACCCAUUGUGUUCGGUUUACAACUGGCUCAUGAAGGAAUGGAAACGUGACGCUUUUUUUCCUGCGACUGCUGGUCAGUUUUUGACGUGCUGUGCCUUUUCAUUGUGUCUGUCCUCUUUGCCUUCUGCCCUGCUGAGAUGUCCGGCUGGUCUCAUCUGCUUGUGCAGUGUGCCACCUGCUGCAAACUCAGAGGUGACGAAACCUACCAGGACAUCUUCCGAGACUUCUCACACAUGGCCUCAAACAACCCUGAGAAGCUCAAACGCCGCAGUGCAGACCCCAAAACUUAACCAUCUGUACAUUCCUUUGUUCACACCCAAUCAUUUCAAACAUACACAUUUAUAUAUAGAAAAAAACACGACCGCAAGCAUGCACAUUAACACAAGCAAACACACAUGGCUAUCCCUGGCUGCCUGCCACAUGUUCAGUCAUCGCUCAGCUGGUGUUGACUUCAGCGCAGACAAACGCUCCUAACAGUGAAUUCUUUGUGCGAACACGUCAGAGCAGAAUAAUCACGUCUGAGUGGGAAAAGCUUUACGAGAGCAGCAUGAGGCGUCUUUAUGAGCAGCAGAGGCUCACACCAUCACUCUGCCAACAUUUCCUAAUUAAACUGUAAUUUUCUUAAGGCUAAAGAGCUGUUUUUUGUUCCUCUGCCAUUUCUGUUGUCUAUUUACACGAGUAAAGGAGAGAAAACAUUGUCAGGAAUGAGAUAAGUGAUGCAAAAAGAUUUUAUGUCAAAUGUUUUCCACCAAAUUGUGAUGUACACUCUUCUUUUUAACUUUUGGGACAUUUUUAGACACCAUCUCUUUUGUGGUACUUGAAAUUUGUAUUAAGAUCAAAUAAACAGCAAAAAUU